GGCUUAACACAUGCAAGUCGAGGGGCAGCAUGUCGGUUGCUUGCAACCGACGAUGGCGACCGGCGCACGGGUGAGUAACGCGUAUCCAACCUACCCUUGUCCAUCGGAUAACCCGUCGAAAGGCGGCCUAACACGAUAUGCGGUUCUCAGCAGGCAUCUAACGAGAACGAAAUGUGAAGGAGAAGGAUGGGGAUGCGUCUGAUUAGCUUGUUGGCGGGGUAACGGCCCACCAAGGCGACGAUCAGUAGGGGUUCUGAGAGGAAGGUCCCCCACAUUGGAACUGAGACACGGUCCAAACUCCUACGGGAGGCAGCAGUGAGGAAUAUUGGUCAAUGGACGGGAGUCUGAACCAGCCAAGUAGCGUGCAGGAUGACGGCCCUAUGGGUUGUAAACUGCUUUUAUAGGGGGAUAAAGUGUGCCACGUGUGGCAUAUUGCAGGUACCCUAUGAAUAAGGACCGGCUAAUUCCGUGCCAGCAGCCGCGGUAAUACGGAAGGUCCGGGCGUUAUCCGGAUUUAUUGGGUUUAAAGGGAGCGUAGGCCGUCUUAUAAGCGUGUUGUGAAAUGUCGGGGCUCAACCUGGGCAUUGCAGCGCGAACUGUGAGACUUGAGUGCGCAGGAAGUAGGCGGAAUUCGUCGUGUAGCGGUGAAAUGCUUAGAUAUGACGAAGAACUCCGAUUGCGAAGGCAGCCUGCUGUAGCGCAACUGACGCUGAAGCUCGAAAGCGUGGGUAUCGAACAGGAUUAGAUAUCCUGGUAGUCCACGCGGUAAACGAUGGAUGCUCGCUGUUUGCGUCUGACGUAAGCGGCCAAGCGAAAGCGUU
rnacentral:rRNA from 1 species